rnacentral:rRNA from 1 species
ACAGUGGACGCGAGCAUCUUUGUUGUAAGUGUUUAAGAGCGUACGGUGGAUGCCUUGGCACCAGGAGCCGAUGAAGGACGUAGGAGGCUGCGAUAAGCCUCGGGGAGCUGUCAACCGAGCUGAGAUCCGAGGAUGUCCGAAUGGGGAAACCCAGCCACAGUGAUGUGUGGUUACCCGCGCCUGAAUAUAUAGGGCGUGUGGAGGGAACGUGGGGAAGUGAAACAUCUCAGUACCCACAGGAAGAGAAAACAACAUGUGAUUCCGUGAGUAGUGGCGAGCGAAAGCGGAAGAGGCUAAACCAUGGGUGUGUGAUAGCCGGCGGGCGUUGCAUUCGUGGGGUUGUGGGAUCCGUCUUGUCAAUUCUGCCGGAUUGGCCGACAGUGAGAAAUCAUCGUGUUAGUCGAAGUGGUCUGGAACGGCCUGUCGUAGAGGGUGAGAGUCCCGUAGACGAAAACAUGGUGACUGUCGUGACGGACACCCGAGUAGCAGCGGGCCCGUGAAAUCUGCUGUGAAUCUGUCGGGACCACCCGAUAAGCCUGAAUACUCCCUGGUGACCGAUAGCGGACUAGUACCGUGAGGGAAAGGUGAAAAGUACCCCGGGAGGGGAGUGAAAUAGUACCUGAAACCGUGCGCUUACAAUCCGUCAGAGCCUGCGCCACUUUUGGUGGGUGGGUGAUGGCGUGCCUUUUGAAGAAUGAGCCUGCGAGUUAGCGGCAUGUCGCGAGGUUAACCCGUGUGGGGUAGCCGUAGCGAAAGCGAGUCCGAAUAGGGCGUUUGUAGUGGCAUGUUCUAGACCCGAAGCGGAGUGAUCUACCCAUGGCCAGGGUGAAGCGACGGUAAGACGUCGUGGAGGCCCGAACCCACUUAGGUUGAAAACUGAGGGGAUGAGCUGUGGGUAGGGGUGAAAGGCCAAUCAAACUCCGUGAUAGCUGGUUCUCCCCGAAAUGCAUUUAGGUGCAGCGUCGCGUGUUUCACUCUGGAGGUAGAGCUACUGGAUGGCCGAUGGGCCCCACAAGGUUACUGACGUCAGCCAAACUCCGAAUGCCAGAGUGUGAGAGCGCGGCAGUGAGACUGCGGGGGAUAAGCUUCGUAGUCGAGAGGGAAACAGCCCAGAUCGCCGGCUAAGGCCCCUAAGCGUGUACUAAGUGGAAAAGGAUGUGGGGUCGCGAAGACAACCAGGAGGUUGGCUUAGAAGCAGCCACCCUUGAAAGAGUGCGUAAUAGCUCACUGGUCAAGUGAUCCUGCGCCGACAAUGUAGCGGGGCUCAAGUACACCGCCGAAGCCGCGGCAUUCACAUAACACCAUGCGGGUCUACGGGCCUGUGUGCAGUGGUGUGGAUGGUAGUAGGGGAGCGUCGUGCAGCCAUGGAAGCGCCGGAGUGAUCCAGGUGUGGAGGCUGCACGAGUGAGAAUGCAGGCAUGAGUAGCGAAAGACGAGUGAGAAACUCGUCCGCCGAAUGACCAAGGGUUCCUGGGCCAGGUUAAUCCGCCCAGGGUGAGUCGG